rnacentral:rRNA from 1 species
GAUGAACGCUGGCGGCGUGCCUAAUACAUGCAAGUCGAGCGAACAGACGAGGAGCUUGCUCCUCUGACGUUAGCGGCGGACGGGUGAGUAACACGUGGAUAACCUACCUAUAAGACUGGGAUAACUUCGGGAAACCGGAGCUAAUACCGGAUAAUAUAUUGAACCGCAUGGUUCAAUAGUGAAAGACGGUUUUGCUGUCACUUAUAGAUGGAUCCGCGCCGCAUUAGCUAGUUGGUAGGGUAACAGCUUACCAAGGCAACGAUGCGUAGCCGACCUGAGAGGGUGAUAGGCCACACGGGAGCUGAGACGCGGUCCAUGCUCCUGCGGGAGGCAGCAGUAGGGAAUCGGCCGCAAUGGGCGAAAACCUGACGGAGCAACGCCGCGUGAGUGAUGAAGGUCUUCGGAGCGUAAAACUCUGUUAUGAGGGAAGAACAAAUGUGUAAGUAAAUAUGCACGUCGUGACGGUACCUAAUCAGAAAGCCACGGCUAACUACGUG